CCUACGGGAGGCUGCAGUGGGGAAUAUUGCGCAAUGGGCGAAAGCCUGACGCAGCGACGCCGCGUGAGGGAUGAAGGUCUUCGGAUCGUAAACCUCUGUCAGCAGGGAAGAACGGUCACUGUGCUAAUCAGCAGUGAAUUGACGGUACCUGCAAAGGAAGCACCGGCUAACUCCGUGCCAGCCGCCGCGGUAGUACGGAGGGUGCGAGCGUUAAUCGGAAUUACUGGGCGUAAAGCGCUCGUAGGCGGUAUGUCAAGUCAAGGGUGAAAUCCCCGCGCUCAACGUGGGAACUGCCUUUGAAACUGGCAAACUGGAGUGUGUGAGAGGAUAGUGGAAUUCCAGGUGUAGGAGUGAAAUCCGUAGAUAUCUGGAGGAACAUCAGUGGCGAAGGCGACUAUCUGGCACAUAACUGACGCUGAGGAGCGAAAGCGUGGGUAGCAAACAGGAUUAGAUACCCCAGUAGUC
rnacentral:rRNA from 1 species